GGAUUGUGGCUCAGUGGUAGAACACCCGCCUAGUGAGUGUGAGGUGCUAGGUUCAAUCCUCAGCACCA
rnacentral:tRNA from 1 species